CCUANGGGGGGCAGCAGUGAGGAAUCUUGCGCAAUGGGGGAAACCCUGACGCAGCAACGCCGCGUGAGUGAGGAAGGUUUUCGGAUCGUAAAGCUCUGUCGGGUGGAAAGAAAGGCAUGGAAGCCAAUACCUUCUAUGUUUGACGGUACCACCAAAGGAAGCACCGGCUAACUCCGUGCCAGCAGCCGCGGUAAUACGGGGGGUGCAAGCGUUGUUCGGAAUUAUUGGGCGUAAAGAGCGUGUAGGCGGCUUGAUAAGUCAGAUGUGAAAGCCCUGGGCUUAACCCAGGAAGUGCAUUUGAAACUGUCUCGCUAGAGUAAGGGAGGGGGAAGUGGAAUUCCUGGUGUAGAGGUGGAAUUCGUAGAUAUCAGGAGGAACACCGGUGGCGAAGGCGACUUCCUGGCCCUAUACUGACGCUGAGACGCGAGAGCGUGGGUAGCAAACAGGAUUAGAUACCCUGNUANUC
rnacentral:rRNA from 1 species